GAGACGUUAUGAAGUUGAAAUGGAAAACCCAGUAAUUGUGAGACUCACGAAAGAAGGGUCUGUUUUUUUACAGAUAGUUUGAGAUCAGGGAAAAACUAUGUACCUACAUGAAAGCCGCGGGAAAAGCUAGUUAACAUUUCUGUAGCAACAAUAAAAAUACCUAGGUUACACAAUAUUAGUUAAAUGGAAAUACGACAAUUCUUUCAAUAUUUGUCAUGUUACGCUUUUGUACCUAGAGUAGUGUAAAACAUGAGAGGCAAAUCCUCCUAAUUUAUUCAAACUUAUUAAUAUGCGUUGAACAAAGCCUCUUAUACAGUCGACAGCACAUGAGUCUGUACACUUUUGCUGUAAAAACACUCUUAUUACAACUUCAUAAGAUCUCAUAGUGUAUAGCAUGACGUGCAGUCGUUUAAACCUACAACAUUAACUCUUACGUAAAUCUGUUUUACUAAUCUAUUCAGUGUAGGUCAGGGAAGAUUACUAGUGCCUAUUCCAUAAAAUCUUCACAGCCACAUAGUAACUAAUAUUAAUUACACACUUAGAUAAAUGAUAUCUAGUUUAGGUACUUAUCAUUUUUAUUUUAAUUAAGAAAGUGCACAGAGUUGUGUAAUACAGCGGAAAGAUCAGUAAAUAAAUAAACAAGUUAAUAAUGUUAGCCAUUGCAUCAUUAAUAAUCGAGAUAAAGUGCCUGUCUUCGUAACAAAAACAACGAUUGAAUAAUGUGAUAAAAAUUCUGAUGGUGGAUAAAAGUUAUUCACUUAAAUUUUAAGUGCCUUAUAAUGAAAAUCAAAUAAGUAGCACAUUGACUUUAUUAUAGUGCCAACUGCAAAUGACUAAAAUCUUGAGUAAUUGAACUCUCCCAACCGAGAGAUCUUUAAUUGACUUUGAUUCCCAACCAUUGAUGAAUAAAUCGGUGCGCUGGAUCCAGUUUGGUAAAAACAUUUUCAUAAUGUCCGACAAGAGACAUAUUCGUGCUCGUCAAAAUAGACGGCUCAAAAAGCUACUUAUUAAAAGAGAAGACAAAGAUUCCAUCUAAAACGCAGCAGAUAAAACUUGAGUUUCUUGCGCUGCUUCUCAACUGAACACUCGCCCAUUUUUAUUGUUCCGAAACAGUGGUAGUGUUAAAGUAAAACCACGCUUCCAUCUUCGGCCUGAUCAUUACUUUCCAUCAGGUGAGAUGCAGGCCUCAUAAUUAAAAUUAGCCGUGUGGUGACGGCAGAGUAGAAUACAUUUGUCACCAACCCCUACUCUUCCCGCGGGUGUCGUAAGAGGCGACUUAGGGACUACACAUCAAACAGAGAAUGGGCAGCAGCGCUCUCUGAAAAACAUCAAUCUUUUAAACUGCGAUCUCCAACCCGCCUGCCAAGCGUGGAGAUUAUGGCAAAACCCUCCACUAUAGUGGAGGAGGCUCAUAGUCCAGCAGUGGACUGUAAAGGGCUGUUGAUGAUGAUGAU